rnacentral:tRNA from 1 species
GGCCUGGGACUGAUCGGCACAUUGACCUUCCGCAGCCGCAAAUCUGCAGCGCCAAGCAACCAGGAUUGAAAAUCCUUGUGUCGGGGGUUUGAUUCCGCCCCGGGCCACCA